AAGUCAGCCAUUCCAUACAACAGUGUUUUAAAACAUUGUGCUGUAGAUAGCCAAGAAUUUGUAUCAAUUACAGUAGAAAAGCAAGAAUAGUAGCCAAGCUUCUAUUCAGAUUGGCAUUGAGCAAUGGGAACUAAAACAUUGUUUGGCACUCGUCAGGACAAUACACAGUGGCAUUUGUUGAAGUCUUGAUUUAACAUUCCUGUUAAUCUAAUCUGUAACGAUAUAAUAUUCCCAAUUUAUCAAAUGAACUGGAAAGAAUGAUUGACUAUUGCUACUUCAUGCAAUUCUUAACUUUUUGUGCUUCAUUCAUGGCUUCUCUCUUUUUCAAAUGUUGUUUACAUUGCUUGUUGUGUAUUACAGGCGACUUUGAAAAAGAGGGCAGAGGAAUAUCUGCAGGCAAACAACAGUUUCAGACAUAAUGCCUUCAAGUUCAUUGAAUUCAUGAUUGAGUCUGGAUGUCCAGACAUAUAUAUUGAUGAGAUAAUUCACAGCAUCCUUUUCUUGGGCCACAUUUUGUACCUUGAGACCGGUAUACAAGAGUACACUCCAAAAAUUGUUUUGGAUGACAUGUAUGACGAAAUUAAAAGUCUCUUCGAAAGACCCAUGGUCUGUUACAAAACAGAACUGCCCAAGCGGACCCCAUUCUCUUGUGUCCUUGAUAUGUUUGUUCACAGAUAUGGGACAGACAAUGAGCAGCAAAUAGUGACAACGUUGGGUGAGCAGGUCAAAGAAUUGAAACUGAUGGAUGGAUACAGUUUGUCUUCCUCCACCAUCUGUGUCUCUCAGUACCUGAAAGGAAAAAAGUACUACGGAGCGUCCAUGUCCUCCACAGGACGGACCGCAGGUAAAAUCAUGAUAGCGGUGUCCUGUCUACAUACCUGGCACAAAUCUGUGUCCGAUGCUGUGAUGUCCUACUUCCCAGGAAAAAGCAGGAGAAAUGAUUUUAAAGGCACCUUUGAACUCCCUGACUCUGUCAGUUGUCGUGCUUACAGCCUCAGGAAUGGAGAGGAUAUACCUCCCUGCAAAUCCUGUAGGAACCUGUUUGGUCUGACGACCACAGACACGACCAAUUCCGAUAAUCAGUUUGUCUAUGGGAAUUGCGCAGAGGCAGAGAGUGUAAGCAGACUACUGACAGGAGAGCAGGACGUUGCCAGUGUGAUUGCCAGGCAGGUGGAAGCAUCACCCUUAUACAACACUACAAGGAGGAAACAUGUGGUGAGCCAGGUACCUAAUCAGCUUCCAAAUUUAAACAACUUCAAGGGGGUUUUGGGGUUUUUUGUUUACUAUAACCCUAAUGAGUGAUUACUGUAUCCUUAGGAAUUCUUAUGAUUAAGGCUGUACUGUUGAAAUUAUG